UGCGACCCCAUAGACAGCAGCCCACCAGGCUCCCCCGUCCCUGGGAUUCUCCAGGCAAGAACACUGGAGUGGGUUGCCAUUUCCUUCUCCAAUGCUCCACUUGAAGCUGGCAACCUUACUGGUUACUCUGUAAAUGAAAUGAAUCAGAGCAGCACUCCAAAAUGUGACAUACAUUGCCACCAAAAUACAUGGAAACCCAGCAAGCCUUCAAACUUGAACUGAAACUGUACUACUGGAACUCCUAGCUCUCCAGCUUACAGACAGAAGAUCACAGGACUUCUCAGCUUCAAUAAUCCACUCCUUUCAUCCAGAGGUAGAGUCUCUUCCUCAUGCCUUGAAUCCUGGCUGGCUUGGUGACUUGCUUUGACCAACAGAAUGAUAAACAACAUGAUUGAAGCUGCAGAGCUCAGACCUCAGAGGCUUAGCUCCUGCCUUCAUCAUCUGAGAAUCCUGAGGCCACCACUGUGCCAGGAAGAAGAUGGAGAUGCAGGACCACAUGAGAGAGAAGCUCAGCGCCCGGCCAUUCCAGCUGAGCCCAGCAUCUAGUGGAUGCAGUCACCGGAGACAACCCAGACCAGACCAGUGGAAUAACCACCCAGCCAACCCACAGAACUGUGAAAAAGAACGAAUUGUCAUG